GGUUCCAUGGUGCAAUGGCAAGCACUCUGGACUUUGAAUCAAGCAAUCCGAAUUCAAAUCUCAGUGGGACCU
rfam:Trichuris muris Edinburgh genomic scaffold, scaffold56